UACGUAGGGUCCGAGCGUUGUCCGGAAUUAUUGGGCGUAAAGAGCUCGUAGGCGGUCUGUCGCGUCGGCUGUGAAAACACGGGGCUCAACUCCGUGCCUGCAGUCGAUACGGGCAGACUAGAGUUCGGUAGGGGAGACUGGAAUUCCUGGUGUAGCGGUGAAAUGCGCAGAUAUCAGGAGGAACACCGGUGGCGAAGGCGGGUCUCUGGGCCGAAACUGACGCUGAGGAGCGAAAGCCAGGGGAGCAAACGGG
rnacentral:rRNA from 1 species